rnacentral:lncRNA from 1 species
GUCAUUGUCAGCUACCUGGGGAUGCGCCUCUCGCUCCCUCACUGUCUUUGCGUGUGUGUUAGUGUGUGUGUGUGUGUGUGUGUGUGUGUGUCGGCCUGUCUACGCACUACACGAAGGCUUAGUUGGUCUUCUUUCGUCUAGUGGGCGCACUCAGGUGCGUCACCAUUCUGCCGUUUCCCUCGCCCUUGUCCUGUCCGAAAGAACCGUCCGCAAGCUGCCCUGUGGUCGCGCUCACCAGCUCUUCGAGCCGCAGCUAACCCAUCUUCUUGUUUUUGUGUCUUUAACUAGGACUUCUAUUUGGAACUGAGUCCGACAGCUCAGGACUGGCUGCUCAAACUCCACAAUUUAAUGAAAAAUCUCAGAUGAUGACUCAGAAAACCUCUAAUGAUCUGAGGAAUAUAUUAAGGGAUUCCAGAGUCAAAGGCUGAUCAUGGAGGGCAUUGAUGAGGGAAGACUUCAGGUGGCUGGAGACCAGAAGAAAGGAACACUGGAAGAAUGAAAACGGUUGUGAUGCACUGCAGUGUGAAAAUAUGCCCUUGAGCCUUAAAGAAAGGGGCUUAAGGCCGGGCGCGGUGGCUCACGCCUGUACUCCCAGCACACAGAUCACGAGGUCAAGAGAUUUGAGACCAUCCUGGCCAACACGGUGAAACCCCGUCUCUACUAAAAAUACAAAAAAUUAUGUGGGAGUGGUGGCGCACGCCUGUAGUCCCAGCUACUCGGGAGGCUGAGGCAGGAGAAUCGCUGGAACCCAGGAGGCGGAGGAGGUUACAGUGAGCCGAGAUCGCGCCACUGUACUCCAGCCUGGCGACAGAGCGAGACUCCGUCUCAAAAAAAAAAAA